AAUACUUAGCAAACACUCGUCAAAAAAAUUAAUUGCUGCAGGUCUACAGUUCUUAUCGAGGGAUCCAGAUACACCUCUAGAAGCUAUUAUUAAUAAAUGGCAGAUGGACCUUGGAUUCCAAAUCAGUUGCAAACAAUGGAGGGAAACUUUAAUAACCCUAGUAUAUAAAAUGUUCACUGUCUUAAUUUGGUAGAGUGCCAUUUUAAAAUUGUAAAUAGAUGGUAUAUGGGUCCCAAUAGCAUAAAUACAUUUACUAAUGGUCAUGAUCCUAAAUUCUGG